rnacentral:rRNA from 1 species
GAUGAACGCUGGCGGCGUGCCUAAUACAUGCAAGUCGAGCGAACGGACGAGAAGCUUGCUUCUCUGACGUUAGCGGCGGACGGGUGAGUAACACGUGGAUAACCUACCUAUAAGACUGGGAUAACUUCGGGAAACCGUAGCUAAUACCGGAUAAUAUUUUGAACCGCAUGGUUCAAAAGUGAAAGACGGUCUUGCUGUCACUUAUAGAUGGAUCCGCGCUGCAUUAGCUAGUUGGUAAGGUAACGGCUUACCAAGGCAACGAUGCAUAGCCGACCUGAGAGGGUGAUCGGCCACACUGGAACUGAGACACGGUCCAGACUCCUACGGGAGGCAGCAGUAGGGAAUCUUCCGCAAUGGGCGAAAGCCUGACGGAGCAACGCCGCGUGAGUGAUGAAGGUCUUCGGAUCGUAAAACUCUGUUAUUAGGGAAGAACAUAUGUGUAAGUAACUAUGCACAUCUUGACGGUACCUAAUCAGAAAGCCACGGCUAACUACGUG